GACGAACGCUGGCGGCGUGCUUAACACAUGCAAGUCGAACGGAAAGGCCCUGCUUGCAGGGUACUCGAGUGGCGAACGGGUGAGUAACACGUGGGUGAUCUGCCCUGCACUUCGGGAUAAGCCUGGGAAACUGGGUCUAAUACCGGAUAGGAGCCAUUUUUAGUGUGAUGGUUGGAAAGUUUUUUCGGUGUAGGAUGAGCUCGCGGCCUAUCAGCUUGUUGGUGGGGUAAUGGCCUACCAAGGCGGCGACGGGUAGCCGGCCUGAGAGGGGGGACGGCCACAUUGGGACUGAGAUACGGCCCAGACUCCUACGGGAGGCAGCGGUGGGGAAUAUUGCACAAUGGGCGCAAGCCUGAUGCAGCGACGCCGCGUGGGGGAUGACGGCCUUCGGGUUGUAAACUCCUUUCGCUAGGGACGAAGCUUUGUGUGACGGUACCUAGAUAAGAAGCACCGGCUAACUACGUG
rnacentral:rRNA from 1 species